CCUACGGGGGGCUGCAGUGAGGAAUAUUGGUCAAUGGCCGAGAGGCUGAACCAGCCAAGUCGCGUGAGGGAAGACGGCUCUACGGGUUGUAAACUUCUUUUGUCGGGGAGCAAAGCGAGUCACGUGUGACUCAUUGAGAGUACCCGAAGAAAAAGCAUCGGCUAACUCCGUGCCAGCAGCCGCGGUAAUACGGAGGAUGCAAGCGUUAUCCGGAUUUAUUGGGUUAAAAGGGUGCGCAGGGGGAGGUGCAAGUCAGCGGUCAAAUCGCGGGGCUCAACCCCGUACUGCCGUUGAAACUGCAUCGCUUGAGUGCGCGAGAGGUAAGCGGAAUGCGUGGUGUAGCGGUGAAAUGCAUAGAGAUCACGCAGAACACCGAUUGCGAAGGCAGCAUACCGGCGCGCAACUGACGCUCAGGCACGAAAGCGUGGGGAUCAAACAGGAUUAGAUACCCCGGUAGUC
rnacentral:rRNA from 1 species